rnacentral:rRNA from 1 species
UACGUAGGGGGCGAGCGUUAUCCGGAGUUACUGGGCGUAAAGCGCACGCAGGCGGUCUGCUAAGUUUGGAGUGACAGUUGGUGGCUUAACUGCCAAAGUGCUUCGAAAACUGACAGACUUGAGGGCUUCAGAGGGACACGGAAUUCCGGGUGUAGCGGUGGAAUGCGGUAGAGAUCCGGAAGAACACCAGUGGCGAAGGCGGCCCGCUGGGCAGUGGCUGACGCUGAAGCGCGACAGCGUGGGGAGCAAACAGG